GGGGAAUAUUGCACAAUGGGCGGAAGCCUGAUGCAGCAACGCCGCGUGAGUGAAGAAGGUUUUCGGAUUGUAAAGCUCUGUCAUCUGGGACGAUAAUGACGGUACCAGAUGAGGAAGCCACGGCUAACUACGUGCCAGCAGCCGCGGUAAUACGUAGGUGGCAAGCGUUGUCCGGAAUUACUGGGCGUAAAGGGUGCGCAGGCGGACAUUUAAGUGAGAUGUGAAAUACCCGGGCUUAACCCGGGCAGUGCAUUUCAAACUGGGUGUCUGGAGUGCAGGAGAGGAGAACGGAAUUCCUAGUGUAGCGGUGAAAUGCGUAGAGAUUAGGAAGAACACCAGUGGCGAAGGCGGUUCUCUGGACUGUAACUGACGCUGAGGCACGAAAGCGUGGGUAGCAAAC
rnacentral:rRNA from 1 species